AACGAACGCUGGCGGCGUGCCUAACACAUGCAAGUCGGACGAGAAAGUUCGCUUCGGCGGAUGAGUAAAGUGGCGCACGGGUGAGUAACACGUGGAUAAUCUGCCUCUUAGUAAGGGAUAACAUUCCGAAAGGAGUGCUAAUACCUUGUAAUACUCUCUUAUCCUUGGAAAAGAGAGUCAAAGACGGCCUCUGACUCAAGCUGUCGCUAAGAGAUGAGUCCGCGUCCCAUUAGCUAGUUGGUAGGAUAAGAGCCUACCAAGGCGACGAUGGGUAGCUGGUCUGAGAGGAUGGCCAGCCACACUGGAACUGAGACACGGUCCAGACUCCUACGGGUGGCUG
rnacentral:rRNA from 1 species